UACGUAGGGGGCAAGCGUUGUCCGGAUUUAUUGGGCGUAAAGGGCGCGUAGGCGGCCGGGUAAGUGAGAUGUGAAAGCUCUGGGCUCAACCCAGGAAUUGCAUUUCAUACUGCUCGGCUCGAGAUUGGUAGAGGAUGGCGGAAUUCCAGGUGUAGCGGUGAAAUGCGUAGAUAUCUGGAGGAACACCUGUGGCGAAGGCGGCUAUCUGGCCUGUUCUUGACGCUGAGGCGCGAAAGCUAGGGGAGCAAACGGG
rnacentral:rRNA from 1 species